rnacentral:rRNA from 1 species
GAUGAACGCUGGCGGCGUGCCUAAUACAUGCAAGUCGAGCGAACGGACGAGAAGCUUGCUUCUCUUAUGUUAGCGGCGGACGGGUGAGCAACACGUGGAUAACCUACCUAUAAGACUGGGAUAACUUCGGGAAACCGUAGCUAAUACCGGAUAAUAUUUUGAACCGCAUGGUUCAAAAGUGAAAGACGGUCUUGCUGUCACUUAUAGAUGGAUCCGCGCUGCAUUAGCUAGUUGGUAAGGUAACGGCUUACCAAGGCAACGAUGCAUAGCCGACCUGAGAGGGGGAUCGGCCACACUGGAACUGAGACACGGUCCAGACUCCUACGGGAGGCAGCAGUAGGGAAUCUUCCGCAAUGGGCGAAAGCCUGCCGGAGCAACGCCGCGUGAGUGAUGAAGGUCUUCGGAUCGUAAAACUCUGUUAUUAGGGAAGACCAUAUGUGUAAGUAACUGUGCACAUCGUGACGGUACCUAAUCAGAAAGCCACGGCUAACUACGUG